rnacentral:tRNA from 1 species
GCCUGGGUGGCUCAGCUGGUUGAGCGUCUGACUUCUGCUCAGGUCGUGAUCUCAUGGUCCGUGAGUUCGAGCCCCACGUCGGGCU